CCAACCCGGACGUUCCACCGCCUGCGGCUCGGCACUUUCGCGGCCCUGCAAGGGCCCGCGGGCCGGGGCUGCGGACGCUCGCUUGGCUCGGCAGAAUCUGCUGGCUCGCGGAAUUCGCUCGCCUCCAUUGUUGCCCCUUCUGGCACCCACAUCCCCGGAACGUGGCCCUGCCCCACGGCCGUAAUUGUUCUCCGAAGGGCUCGGCGCUCCUUUUACCAGCCCUUCCCCUUUUUAAAGGACUUUCCCAUUCGCCUGCUUUUCCCCCCCGGGUUAGUGGUGCUGGGCCCCCCGCAUUUGGGGUGACGACUCAUCCCACCCUCACCCCCGUCUCGCAACUGGGAUAACCGGCACAUGAGAGGGGGCAGCGGCCCCAUUUAUGCGAACUGUUCAUUUGCUUAGAUCGGAACCGUGUGUUUUGUGGCUGUGAGUUAAAACGUGGAGGUCCAGGAAGUGACUGGCUAAAGGCAAAUCCUAUGACUUUAUCCCAAAAUGUAGGCCCGUCUUCCAGAUGACUCACGUGGUACAGUGGCUUACUCCAGAUGAGAACAAGCCAGAAUAUAAAUAUACCUUUGUUUAAGACUCUCUGUUUGCAUGUAACGGAAACCAACCUGAAACAGCUUAACCAAAAGGGAAGAAUUUAUCAUAAGGAUGUAGGAACUUCUUACAAAUGCCCAGAGCGGGAAGACAGCUACCUCCUAGCAAAAGACUAGAACCAGGAGUUGGAAAACUUCCAGGAACCCAAAAGCAUCUGAGGACACUGAGAAAUCUGCAGUCUGCCGCCCACAAGACAGCGUCUUCUGGAACCCAGGGCUGCACCCUCGGCAUGUGGAAGAUACGGAAGUCUCCAAGCUAGAGUCAAAUCAGAGCUGCAGCUACUGGCCUACACCACAGCCACAGCCAUACAGGAUCCGAGCCACAUCUGCAACCUACAUCACAGCUCACAGCAACACCAGAUCCUCAAGCCACUGAGCAGGGCCAGGAAUUUAACCCAUAUCCUCAUGGAUCCUAAUCAGGUUCAUUUGCCCUAAGCCACAAUGAGAACUCCCAACAUGUGAAUUUUGUAGGGACAUGAUGCAGCCCAUAGUACUUCUGCCAUCUAUAGGCUCUCAGGAUGCGUGGGACCGACCCCCAGAGUGCCAUCCUAGCAAGAACACUGGUGGCAGCCACCUCCCUUGCCUGUUGGGUGUCCCAUUAUCACUUUCCCUCUUACCUAAUAAUUCAGAGCAAAAAGAGAGGCUCUUAGGCCUGAAGUCCCUGAAAUCUCUCUAACCUUGAAGCUCAUCUCUUUCCAGACCUAGGUGCACCUCCGUCCAUUGCUUCUAGACCAGUUUUCCUAACAUGCAGAUCUGAUCAGAUCAUUCCACUGCUCAAAGUCUUCAGCUUCACCCUGGUCCACACUUGUGAGCAUUGCACUCAAGGCCCCCGUGACCAGUUCCCCUCUGGGUCUCUGCCCUCACAUCCUGCUCCCUGAUCUCCUGUUCCCGGUGUCCCAGCAAGACUGACCUUGUGCUGCUGUGAAAACACUCCUUCCAGAGGCAGGACGUUUGGGUCCCUGUGUUUUAACUCGUUGUCAUGGUUUUUUCUCUGUAGUUGUUGGAAAACCUUCUCCCCUUGUCUCCGCAAAGCUCCUUGUCCUUGAGAACCUUUGAACACCACCUCACCAGGUCACUUCCCAGACUCCUCUCCCCCAGAGCGAGUUAAUGCACCCUCCUUGGUCUUUUCACAGUCCCGUCAGCCCCGAGAGUGGGCCCGACCACACUGCGUCUUCUCUCUGCCUCCUCCCCUCCCAGCCCACGUCCCCACUAGGCAGAGCUCCUCAAGGGCACAGAUGGUGGUGUUCCUCUCUUACUCAUCUCUCCAUCUCCAGAGACAACACACAGCAAAGGUAAAAAAGAAAGGGAGGAGGGAAAGAGAACAGAAUUCAAUUCUCUGGGACUUAAACACAUAUUUGCACAUCACGCCAUUAUUGUGAAGGUAUCACCCUCUGUUUAAAGCUUAGCUAAAAGCACCUUUCGUCGUGCAGUUUCAAGGCAGGUUGCACAGUACACUAAGUACCCCGGAAGGCAGGGGCCCACGUCAGAGCGAAGCCCCACACAUUGCUUUGUCUGUCCCGGACCAGCGUACUCGUUGGUAAGGGGAUUCUCUUCCCCAUGACCCACCUCCGACAGUGUAGUUUAUGCAGUUCCAGGCACAGAUCUUACCCCUCGCCUUGAAGCUGGGCAUGUGAAGUCACUCUUCACUUGCUCCUGGCCACAUGACCUCAGCCUGGCCAAUCAGAAGCCUUCCCUGAGAUUUUCUCCCCAGAAUUAGUGAAGAUGACUCCCUCUGCCUCCCGGGUCAGGCUGCUGUGUGUGAUCCCAGAAAUGUGUUCCCUUCGUCUGGAGAGAGCCCAUUCCAGCAGAAGCAAAUAAAGCCAAGAAAACAAAAGCAGAAAUGAGAGAUGGAGGCAGAGAAUGGAGGAGGAAGGAGAAAGAGAGCGAUUGAGCCUAACCAAGUCAUCUUAAAUCUCUGGCUUCAUCUCUUCCUGUCCCCAUUGUUUUUUAAGCAAUUUAAAUUGCAUCUCUGCCCUUGCAAGUAAAAUGAUUAUGAAUAAU
rnacentral:lncRNA from 1 species